rnacentral:rRNA from 1 species
CGCGUAGGUAACCUGCCUGGUAGCGGGGGAUAACUAUUGGAAACGAUAGCUAAUACCGCAUAAGAGUGGAUGUUGCAUGACAUUUGCUUAAAAGGUGCACUUGCAUCACUACCAGAUGGACCUGCGUUGUAUUAGCUAGUUGGUGGGUAAGGGCUCACCAAGGCGACGAUACAUAGCCGACCUGAGAGGGUGAUCGGCCACACUGGGACUGAGACACGGCCCAG